ACAACUUAUGUAUCCGUGUCUUCUACACACAUCAAACACUUCCUCUUUAUAUCCUGCGCGCAGUUCGAUCUUCCACAGCUUUGGCUAAAGACUAAUUAAUUAAAGUUCAGAUAAACUUUGCACUAUUUUUUCUUCCUUUAAACUUUUUGAGGAAGUAAAAAAAAGGCAAGGUGGAGAGUGAAGAUGAUUGCUGCAUGUUAAUUUUCCCUAUGGUAAAACUCAGUUAAAUAGAAAUUUGAUCUGGGAAAAGGAAAAGAAUUAAACUUUUGAGUACGUCUUUUUUCUUUUCCUUCAUUUUCUUACCUACAAAAAGGAUAAAUUAAUGUUAUAUAUGAUCGUUUUGCCUACUUCUUUACCUACUAAAUUUGUAACUUUUGGGAUGAUUUGUGAAUAUUUUUUUUGGUAAAUUUAAUAGCUAUGUGUUUGGAUUGAUAUUUAUAUGGGCUGGUAAAUUUAACAAAUUAUUAUAUUUGUUCUAAAACAAGUCAAAUAAUAAGACUUUAAUUUUACUAAACAGUUUUCACUGAUAUAUACUCGAUGAUUUAGUGCGUAACAGAAGAGUGCAGCAGCAGUCUAAACUCUGUCAUUCAGAGGCGCGAUAACAGAACAAGUUUUGCUAGGCAAGGGUCCAGUUCACAAGCUUAUUUCAUGAGGCAGGUUUAUUUCAACAGAAGAGGUGCUUAAAUCUUUUAGACCAUACCUUGCACUUUAUACUUCCUCUAUUAUGUAAAAAGUGGUACAAUAAUAUGAGCUUCUAAAAUAAAACAAAAACACAUUUUUAAUACAUGUAAAUUUAGCAAAUGAGAAUUUCUUUUUGACACGAUUGAUUCAUUGAACACUAGUUUCCCUACGCCUUACUUUACUUUCAAGCUCCUCUGCUCUGCUUUGGUAUUUGAAGUUUGAAAUGGAGAGGAUCUUUGUCCCAACAGAGGAGGGGGAAUGAGUGGAAAAGAUAUAUUCGGCUCCGAGAAGCCUUUUG
rnacentral:lncRNA from 1 species